AGAGUUUGAUCAUGGCUCAGAUUGAACGCNGGCGGAAUGCUUUACACAUGCAAGUCGAGCGGCAGCGCGGGGCAACCUGGCGGCGAGCGGCGAACGGGUGAGUAAUACAUCGGAACGUGCCCAGACGUGGGGGAUAACUACUCGAAAGAGUGGCUAAUACCGCAUACGAUCUACGGAUGAAAGCGGGGGAUCGCAGGACCUCGCGCGUCUGGAGCGGCUGAUGGCAGAUUAGGUAGUUGGUGGGAUAAAAGCCUACCAAGCCAACGAUCUGUAGCUGGUCUGAGAGGAUGAUCAGCCACACUGGGACUGAGACACGGCCCAGACUCCUACGGGAGGCAGCAGUGGGGAAUUUUGGACAAUGGGCGAAAGCCUGAUCCAGCCAUUCCGCGUGCAGGAUGAAGGCCCUCGGGUUGUAAACUGCUUUUGUACAGAACGAAAAAGCUCUGGUUAAUACCUGGAGUCCAUGACGGUACUGUAAGAAUAAGCACCGGCUAACUACGUGCCAGCAGCCGCGGUAAUACGUAGGGUGCAAGCGUUAAUCGGAAUUACUGGGCGUAAAGCGUGCGCAGGCGGUUUUGUAAGACAGAGGUGAAAUCCCCGGGCUCAACCUGGGAACUGCCUUUGUGACUGCAAGGCUGGAGUGCGGCAGAGGGGGAUGGAAUUCCGCGUGUAGCAGUGAAAUGCGUAGAUAUGCGGAGGAACACCGAUGGCGAAGGCAAUCCCCUGGGCCUGCACUGACGCUCAUGCACGAAAGCGUGGGGAGCAAACAGGAUUAGAUACCCCGGUAGU
rnacentral:rRNA from 1 species